GCCUAUCCCAGCUGUCAUUUGUCUUUACAAUUAUGAAUUAUUGAAUUUUUUUCAAAAUAUAUUUAUAGUGUAGUAGUAAUCCAUCCAUCCAUUUUUCUUUGCAGCUUAUCCUCAUGAUGGUCAGGGGGAGUGCCGUGGCCUAUCCCAGCUGUCAUUUGUCUUUACAAUUAUGAAUUAUUGAUUUUUUUUUCACAAUGUAUUUAUAGUGUAGUAGUAAUCCAUCCAUCCAGCCAUCCAUUUUUCUUUGCCGCUCCAUCCAUUUUCUUAGCCGCUUAUCCUCACGAGGGUCGCGGGAGUGCUAAAGCCUAUCCCAGCUGUCAACGGGCAGGAGGCAGGGUACCCCCUGAACAGGUCGCCAGCCAAUCGCAGGGCACGUUGAGACGAGCAACAGUCGGUCACAAUCACACCUCGGGGCAAUUUAGAGCGUCCAAUUAAUGUUGCACGUUUUUGAAACCGGAGUGGCCAGAGAAAACGCACGCAGGCACGGGAAGAACAUGCAAAUGGCACACAGGUGGGUACGGGAUUGAACCCGGGACCUCAGAACUGUGAGGACAACGCUUUACCAGCUGCUCCACUGUGCCGCCCUCUUUGACUUAUUUUUAUUUUUAAUUUUUCGGUGCGCGGCCUCCCGGUAACGCACGGUCCGCUGGAGGGGGGGCCCUCAUCAGUCUCCUCGCUUAUCUGAUCUUUUCAGGUGGGUGGAGAGCUUGCCAGCGAGGAGACAAAUGAGGGGAAAACAUUCAUAUUAAGAGUCCUUCAGGGCACUCGCGCGUUGUUGAGCAGCAAGUCUUGCUACGGCUAAAUAUUCUACAUCGAAAUGUCAAUCAUCACUAUUAUAGUUAUGUUUAUAAUAUGCCUCUGUGUGAAGGCUGUCAACUAUGUACAAAAAGUGUUUAUGGUGCUAUUACUACAUAAAAGUCUUCUCGUCAGUUUUUUUCAUCCUGCAAAAUGGGAAUUUAUCCAUCCACCCUGAACUGGUCGCCAGCCAAUCGCAGGGCACAUGGAGACAAACGGCCACACUCACAAUCACACCUACGGGCAAUUUAGAGUGUCCAAUUAAUGUUGCGUGUUUGCAUGUGGGAGGAAACCAGAGUGCUCCCCGCGAGAAAACCCACGCAGGCACGGGGAGAACAUGCAAACUCCGCACAGGCGGGUCCGGGAUUGAACCCGGGACCUCAGAACUGUGAGGCCAACGCUUUACCAGCUGGUCCACCGUGCCGCAAUAGGAAUUUAGUGAGAGUUAGGAAAAAAAAGUAAAAAGUUAAUGUUGUAGUUUUAAAAAAAAAAAAAAAAGUAGCAGCAUCACUUUUACACGGAUAGGCUCCAGCAUUCCCGCGACCCUCGUGAGGAUAAGCAACUAAGAAACUAGAUGGAUGGAUUAGACAACCAUGGUUAAAUGUCUGAAAUUAUUCUCACUCGUACAACCAUACCCGAUGUUUAAAAUCUAUUGCUUAGAACGCUGGAUUAGAAUUUUAGAACAUGCUCAAUGUUAACGAGUUAGUAUCCGUGUUCAAUACUUUUCAUUGAUAUCGCUAUGACAACUUUUUACAGUCCAAUGUCACUUUCGUGUGUCGUCAAGUUUAAUUUUACCUGAGCAAUUUGUCGAAAAAAAAAACAAUUGGUACAGGAGGAAAACUUCGGUUAUGAUUUGCGACAUGCCCUGCGAUUGGCCGGCAACCAGUUUAGGGUGUAUGCCUGUCUCCUGCCUGUUGACAGCUGGGAUAGGCUCCAGCGCUCCCCGUGACCCUCGUGUGGAUGAGCGGCCAAGAAAUUUGAUGGAUGGAUUUGUGACAAAAGAGAUUUAAAACGUUGUGGAAAGUUUUCAUCGUGUCCACUUUCCUUCGUAGCAUUGAAACUUUGCUUUACUUGGGCUCAGUGCUUAGAACGCGGUCAGAUCUUUUCCGAUGGGUUCAUAAUGAUAAUAAUAAUAUAAUAAUAAUAGUGAUAAUGAUAUAGUGGGGCGACACGGUGGAUCAGCUGUGAUUGUGAGUUUUGUCUCUAUGUGCCCUACGAUUGGCUGGCAACCAGUUUAGAGCGUACCCCACAUCGUGCCUGAUGAUACCUGGGAUUGGCACCAGCACCCCUGCGACGCUUGUGAGGAUAAGCGGCAAAGGAAAUAGAUGGAUGGAUGGAUGGAUGGAUGAUAAAGUGGCCUUCAUAUGGUGCGAAACCAGUCAGGGUUACCAUUACCAGCUUCCAAAGUGUCAUGCGAGGAGCCGGAUCGCGGAGGCCGACAUUGCGUCGGAAGACAAAUGCGCUUACCUGCGUCGCCGUAAAAAUAGCAAAAGAGUGACGGGGUGACGAAGCAGAGCGACAGAAGGGCCCCGCGUGGAAGUCAAUCAAGACAGGAGAGAGGAGGGGAAAUCCAAUGAAUAGCAAACUUGGGCAACUUCGACAUCGCGGCGCCGAGAUGGACAAAAAGCCGAGCGGCUUCAGCAAAUCCAAGAUGACGCUCGCGGCGAGAUUAGGGAGAAAUUGCACAACCGCGGAAGGAAGACAUCGAGAGGGACUUUCAGGAAGGAGCCCAAGAGGCCCAGGUUCUGACCAAUCCCGCCCCCCGAACUUUUUACCGGAGAACCAGCACCGAGACUGGACCCACUUCCUGUAAAAAGCAGCAGGACCUUCGCACCAGUGUUUUAGAAGGACAGGAAGUGACGUGUGAGAAGAGAGACGUGGGAGAGAAAGAGAGAAAAACUUUAUAUAAGUGUUUAAGAAGGACAGGAAGUGACGUGUAAGAAGAGUGACGGAGAGAGAAAGAGAGAAAAACUUUAUACAAGGUGGGGAAAUAUUUAUUAAAGCACGUGCUGAAUUUAUUUUCCUUUGUUGACCCUUGAAAUACUUUUGUUUGUCAUUUUAUUGUUGUAACCAGUGUUUGAGAAGGACAGCACCCGUGUUUAUUUUUGUUGUUUCCAGCUAGCUACAGUUAAUGGGUCGUUUUCACUGCGUCACAUUUUUUUGCUGAAUUAGCCACACACCACCGCGCACCGCCAUUGAACCCAAACGCGUACCCAGUGUGGAAGUCUACGGGAUACUCUCGGUUACUGUUUGUGUUUUUGUGUUUCACGGGCGUCUCGGGACUCGAGUACACAAGAGAAGACUCGCUAACCAUCACAGAGCCUUCUUCUGACUUUUUUUUUUUUCGACAACUCUCGCCAAUUCCCUGAAGAUUUUUCCGGAGUUACUAGCGCUCUUCAAAGCUUCGCGAUCCGGUACACAAGUCUGCCUGCGUAAGCGGGGACAUCGUCUAACGCUUCCGCCGAAAGACUUUGGACGUUCUGCGGCUCUGCGGUUCACGUAGACUUGGCUUUGUGGACUAUUGCCCGACGCUGCUAUCCCGCUGCCCGGUCUCAACCUCCGUCGUGCUGAUGUGUCGCUAAGCUAAGCUAACGAGCUUAAGCGAUACUCUUUUCCGCAGGCCAACAUUGCAGUUAAGAUCUUUUUUUUUUUUUUUGUUCAUCACUUGAAAGAUUUGAGAAUUUUGUGAAAUACUGGAUUUGUUUAUUAUUUUGUCUUUGUGUCAUUGUCAUAACAUUUUAAACAAAUAAUAAACAUUUCGCUUUGCUUGCGGUGGACUAAUAUACAGGUUUUACUUUCUGAAACAAAUGGAAUAAAUGGAGUUUGCCUCGAUAUUAAAAAAAAAAAUAUUCCACCGCCUUUUGUUUUCCGUGUUAGCGCUUCCUUCGUGAUUUCUGUCACAUAGAGUAAAAGAUCGAGGGCACAAUACUGGGCCUUUGUGACGCAGUCCUCAGUCCCACGAUGUGUGUACGCCAGGUAGCCUAACAGUCAGUCUGGGCUCGACGUGCUGUCGGUCGCGUCUUCAACAAAUGCGGUGAGAAACGUAACGUCGUCCACCUCGUGUGAGUAACGGGAGCUUAGUGAUCGAAAAUGGCCGCCGUUCGAGGCAGCCCAACAGGUGACGUCACGCGAAAACGACCCAUGAUAUACUUGAGCGGCGCUACGAGGACACGUUUCCGCGGAUCCAUCAUAUCAUCAAGUUUUGAACACCCCCCGCGCCCCUGCUAUUAUUGAACGCAGUACGUACGUGGAUCUCCGAAGGAUUAAAGAAGACAAGAAGUGAAAAGUUUUUGUUUACCGAUUGAGGUCAAAAAGGUUUCAACGUCGCUCUGCUCGACCUCCCGCCGACAAAGAAUGACAGACCUCAAAGCCAGGACGUGGCCUCUGGAUGAUAUCUUCAAGAAAUUUAUUUUACACCUCAAAACAAAAACAAAAAGAGGAGCGGGAAUUUAGCGAUGUGGUACAUUGGGAAUGUAUUGACAACUGUAGUUUACAUUUUCUUUUUUUUUUUUUCUUUCUUUUUUUUUUUGGUGUAAGCUCAGAGAAAAAAAAAAUGUUCAUACAGUCAUAAUAAUUGCACUUCAUAAAUCUAGACUGAUGCCAGUAUUUUCCCACAACAAAGCUCCGGCUCUCACUUUUAUUGAAUAAAUUGAAUUUAGCAUUGAAAUUCCACUGACAAAAGAAAUGCUAAUCAAGACCGUAGGCCCGUUGCACUGAUCCAAUUUUUUUUUCAUUUUUUUUUUUUUAAUUUUUCCUCUUUCACUUGAAUCCCACAAGGCAAUAACACAUCGCAGUAAUUUAAGUGCAGUACAUUCAAGGGAAUCUCACAGUCCUAAUAAAUAUUUCACCGCUCUGAAUCAUCGCGUUAAGACGGGCCUGGGCUAAAAACGCGUCGCAACCCCGGGGGUGGAUUGGGGGGCUCGAACCAACAAGGAAAAAGUAACGACCCUUCUCUCCAUCCAUCGGGUGCCAGAGGAGGGCAAAUGAUUGUUUUCGGAUAUAGAUAUAUAUCUUUUUUUUGUUUGAUUCGCAAGAAGAGCGAAUCGUAUCUCUCGAAAUCGGGCUCCCUGGUACCGUCUACCGCGACGAUGGCAGAUUGGACAAUUACACUCGAGACGGCGCCGCCGACGUCCUCCGUCGCAAAAGGAAGCGAGACCUGCAAAAGAAUUGCUGUACAUUACUCGGAUAUGAUUUUUCCGGGGACCGCGGUGGAAAUCUUCGAACGACACGUGGGGAAAAUAAAGAGUCUGAGGCUUCUGAAGAGCAAAACGCGCACACACACACACAAACGCACGUACAUUUAUCGUCGCGUCGAUAACCUGGCAAUUCACAUUCUUCACUGUAACAUUUUCUUUUCUGUUCGAUGUUAUGAAAUAAGUGAUUCAAGAUUUAACGUUGUGAAGGAGUAUUAGGAGGACAUCGAAAAAUAAAAAGACAAAAAUUCACAGUAUUACAAAGAUACCUUGUGGAAAUAUUCAAAUAAAAUGUUUUGAAAUGAGUGCCGUAAUUUCCGGCCUAUAAGCCGCGACCUUUUUUCAGACACUUUCAACCCAGCGGCUUAUGCGGUGAUGCGGCUAAUUUGUGCAUUUUUUUCUAACGGCUGCAAAGGGGGCACUGGAGCGGAAAAGGUAAGAGUGAGAUCGCUGGAAUUUGUGGGCCAAAGAAGUGACUUUUACCGGUCCGGCCCUGUUAGCGUUGCGCUAUUGUGGUAUUGCCGUGUCUCAGUGAUUUUUACCGGUAUAUAUAUUUUUUUUAACCAGCCCUGUUAGAGUUAGCGCUGUGGCGCUAGCGGUAAGCUCUCUGUGUACUAUCUUUCUUUGUAAAUAUCUCGUGUUUCAAUGUGGGUUUCAUUG